rnacentral:rRNA from 12 species
UCCGACAGGUCACGCUACGCCUGUUUACUGAAGCUGGGCAGGACUGGGCCUGGUUAGUACUUGGAUGGGAGACUGGCAGGGAUUAACAAGAACUGUUGGUU